rnacentral:rRNA from 1 species
AUUGAACGCUGGCGGCAGGCCUAACACAUGCAAGUCGAGCGGAUGGAGGGAGCUUGCUCCUGGAUUCAGCGGCGGACGGGUGAGUAAUGCCCAGGAAUCUGCCUGGUAGUGGGGGAUAACGUCCGGAAACGGGCGCUAAUACCGCAUACGUCCUGAGGGAGAAAGUGGGGGAUCUUCGGACCUCACGCUAUCAGAUGAGCCUAGGUCGGAUUAGCUAGUUGGUGGGGUAAAGGCCUACCAAGGCGACGAUCCGUAACUGGUCUGAGAGGAUGACCAGUCACACUGGAACUGAGACACGGUCCAGACUCCUACGGGAGGCAGCAGUGGGGAAUAUUGGACAAUGGGCGAAAGCCUGAUCCAGCCAUGCCGCGUGUGUGAAGAAGGUCUUCGGAUUGUAAAGCACUUUAAGUUGGGAGGAAGGGCAGUAAGUUAAUACCUUGCUGUUUUGACGUUACCAACAGAAUAAGCACCGGCUAACUUCGUG